rnacentral:rRNA from 1 species
AGUGAACGCUGGCGGUAGGCCUAACACAUGCAAGUCGAACGGCAGCACAGUAAGAGCUUGCUCUUACGGGUGGCGAGUGGCGGACGGGUGAGGAAUACAUCGGAAUCUACUUUUUCGUGGGGGAUAACGUAGGGAAACUUACGCUAAUACCGCAUACGACCUACGGGUGAAAGCAGGGGAUCUUCCGACCUUGCGCGAUUGAAUGAGCCGAUGUCGGAUUAGCUAGUUGGCGGGGUAAAGGCCCACCAAGGCGACGAUCCGUAGCUGGUCUGAGAGGAUGAUCAGCCACACUGGAACUGAGACACGGUCCAGACUCCUACGGGAGGCAGCAGUGGGGAAUAUUGGACAAUGGGCGCAAGCCUGAUCCAGCCAUACCGCGUGGGUGAAGAAGGCCUUCGGGUUGUAAAGCCCUUUUGUUGGGAAAGAAAAGCAGCAGGUUAAUACCCCGCUGUUCUGACGGUACCCAAAGAAUAAGCACCGGCUAACUUCGU